AAGAUGGCUGAGAAAAAUAGGCGGUAGAUUGUAAAUUUAUUAACAAGUGUAAACUUUCUUA
rnacentral:tRNA from 1 species